rnacentral:rRNA from 1 species
AGGGCCGCGGUAAUUUGACCGUGCGAAGGUAGCACAAUCACUUGCCUUUUAAUUGGGGGCUAGUAUGAACGGCUGGAUGAGGGAUUAAAUGUCUCUAAAUUGUAAUUAAAAUUUUACUUUUAAGUGAAAAGGCUUAAAUUUUAUUAAGUGAAGAUAAGACCCUAUAAAACUUAUACACAAAUAGGCCAUGUUGAAUUUGAUACGUAUAAAAUGAGAUGGUAUAUAUUGUGUUUUGUUGGGGCGACAAAAAUAGAAUUAGUAUCUGUUGUUUUUAAUAAGUUAACGAUGAUUAAAAGAUGAGCCUUUCUUAUGGAUCUAAAGAUUAAGUUACUUUAGGGAUAACAGCGUAAUUUUCUUUGAGAGAUCUAAUCGACAAGAGUAGUUGCGACCUCGAUGUUGAAUUAAAAUUUUCUAUCAAGUGCAGUAGCUUGACUAGUAAGUCUGUUCGACUUUUAAAAUUUUACAUGAUUUGAGUUCAAACCGGUGUGAGCCAGGUU